CCAGAAUCUUGCAAUCCACAUCCAGUUCCAGAAACUGAAUUCCAAGAAGCUACACUGAGGAUAAUUCAGCUCUGAUAUUGUGAUUACUGUGAUGUUCUUUCAUUCAUACAGUAAGUAUCUGCCCAAUACGUAACUACCGAGAUCUAUUGCUUCCUACAUAAUUAGACAAGCUCCUCACACAUAUGGGCCCAUGCCGUGCACAUAGCAGGCACUCAACAAGUGUUUGCUUAACUACAGAAGAAUAAUAUAAUUGCCUUCCUUCUUAACUGUUUUACCUUUUUCUAUACUUGAUAUAUUUGAAAAACAACAUGCUUGCAAAACUAAAAUCUAACAUGCAUUACUAACUUUAUCAAAAGAUCCCUCAGUAUUUUUCAAAAAGGAAAAAAAUAAUAAAAACCAAUCCCCCAAAUACUAAAACUUAGAACUGCUUUACACUUAAAUAGCAAUUUACAUCAUAUUAACAUAUUCAUAAUCUUCAUUGGUUAAAACAGGUCAAAGGUUUAUUACUGGCUUCUCAUACCAGAUAAGUCUCACAGUUCCCAAUAAGGCAACAGAAUCCUCAUCCAACAUAUAUUGACUUGUGGAACCCAACGGCCUGUUUUGGUUUCAUUUCAGCGCAAGUAGAAGGCAAAAUAAAGAGUCUCACAGUAAAAUGUUCAUAGUAGAUAAUAUGUCCUUGAAGGUUGUGCCGUUGUGCUCUUAUUCCACUGAAGAAAUGAUUCACAUCCCAAUUAUAGAUAUGGUCUCCCAAUCAGAGGAGUCUUUUAGAAGACAUUCAUUCAUUCAUUGAACAAAUAUGUGUUGUGUACUUGUCCCAUGCUAGGUAACAGGAAAAUAUCAAGUCAAGACAAUAGAGAGAUAUGCUGAGAACUUAAUACUCAAGCCUUAAUCAGGCACCAGAUGCCAAGAAACCUUCACUCUCAACAAACAACACAAUCCACUAAUUAUCUGUAGAAUUGUUGUAGUUGGUACUCUUCACAUUCACUUACUCCUUAGCAAAGAUUGCUCUUGAAUGGAAAGGUUGCAGAAAGAGCCAAAGCCAAUUUGGAAGAAGUGAGAAACUUACAGGUUUGAGGAAUGGUGAAGUCAGCGAAGGAUCUAGCCUCCUUAGAUGAUGAACAGGCAAAGUCAGAGAAGGAACCACAGUGAGAGAAUUGGCAGAUGCCCCUAAUAAAAUCACACAACUCAGACACACACACAGACACACAAAUAUUCAUGCGUUAUACCCAUUCAAGUAACUGGAUAUUUAAUUCAUUCUAUGCAAUGAACAGUCAAAUGCUGGGAAGGCCCCAUAGUUCUUUGGCCUUCUUGUAAAGCAACAUAUGUCUUUUCUGCAGGAAUGUCUGAGUUGCACAGUCAAGAUCGUUGCUGUUCAUUGUUCUUUUUCUCAGCUCUUUCAGUAACUGUUACUUGACAACACUAAGUUAAACCUUUACAGAAGUGACCAAGCCAGGCAGAAAUAAAAAUGGAUUUGGUU
rnacentral:lncRNA from 10 species